UACGAAGGGGGCUAGCGUUGUUCGGAAUUAUUGGGCGUAAAGGGCGCGUAGGCGGCUUGGCAAGUGGAAGGUGAAAUCCCUCGGCUUAACCGAGGAACUGCCUUCCAGACUGUUAGGCUUGAGACCGGGAGAGGUGAGUGGAAUUCCCAGUGUAGCGGUGAAAUGCGUAGAUAUUGGGAGGAACACCAGUGGCGAAGGCGGCUCACUGGACCGGUACUGACGCUGAGGCGCGAAAGCCAGGGGAGCAAACGGG
rnacentral:rRNA from 1 species